UACAGAGGGGGCAAGCGUUGCUCGGAAUCACUGGGCGUAAAGCGCACGUAGGCGGACUCUUAAGUCGGUGGUGAAGUCCUGGAGCUCAACUCCAGAACUGCCUCCGAUACUGGGAGUCUUGAGUCCGGGAGAGGUGAGUGGGAACUGUCGAGUGUAGAGGUGAAAUUCGAUAGAUAUUCGCGAAGAACACCAGUGGCGAAGGCGGCUCAC
rnacentral:rRNA from 1 species